CCCAGUCACUCUCUUUCAGUCACCCACCCACUCACUCUCCCUCAUCAGUCAAACGCCUCACUUACCCUCUCAGCAAACCGACACUCUCACUCACCCUCUCCUCCUCUCACUCUCUCAGCGUCACCGUCGCCGACGACGGCCCCAACCCACUCACCCUCUCAGCCUCACCGACCCAGUCUCAGUCACUCUCUCGCUCACCUACGCGGUAUCUGAAGCAAAUAGAAGAACAAAAGUAUGGCUGCUGCAAAUGCUGGACAGAUUAACCAUGCGCAGCCUGGCCCCAUUGACACGUCAGUGUUGACGUUGCAGCCCAACCAUCGAUCAGAAGCCAUUUGGAAUGGGCAGGAUCCAGGGUCCCUUAAAUGUCGUGCCCGUAGUGAAGAGUUCUCGAAUCGAGAGCCAAUGGUGGACGAUCGAGUCAUUGACAUCAUUAAGGCACUUGGUUUGGAGGGACUUCUCAGGACUCCGGGUAGAGAGAUUGAUCAUGGCCUGAUAACGGCC